UGCGAAGUGGAGCAAAUCCCUAAAAGGACGUCUCAGUUCGGAUUGCAGGCUGCAACUCGCCUGCAUGAAGUCGGAAUUGCUAGUAAUCGCGGAUCAGCAUGCCGCGGUGAAUACGUUCCCGGGCCUUGUACACACCGCCCGUCACACCAUGAGAGCCGGGAACACCCGAAGUCCGUAGUUUAACCGCAAGGAGGACGCGGCCGAAGGUGGGUUUGGUAAUUGGGGUGAAGUCGUAACAAGGUACC
rnacentral:rRNA from 1 species